GAUGAACGCUGGCGGCGUGCCUAAUACAUGCAAGUCGAGCGAACAGACGAGGAGCUUGCUCCUUCGACGUUAGCGGCGGACGGGUGAGUAACACGUAGGUAACCUACCUAUAAGACUGGGAUAACUUCGGGAAACCGGAGCUAAUACCGGAUAAUAUUUCGAACCGCAUGGUUCGAUAGUGAAAGAUGGCUUUGCUAUCACUUAUAGAUGGACCUGCGCCGUAUUAGCUAGUUGGUAAGGUAACGGCUUACCAAGGCAACGAUACGUAGCCGACCUGAGAGGGUGAUCGGCCACACUGGAACUGAGACACGGUCCAGACUCCUACGGGAGGCAGCAGUAGGGAAUCUUCCGCAAUGGGCGAAAGCCUGACGGAGCAACGCCGCGUGAGUGAUGAAGGUCUUCGGAUCGUAAAACUCUGUUAUUAGGGAAGAACAAACGUGUAAGUAACUAUGCACGUCUUGACGGUACCUAAUCAGAAGGCCACGGCUAACUACGUG
rnacentral:rRNA from 1 species